GACGAACGCUGGCGGCGUGCUUAACACAUGCAAGUCGAACGGAAAGGCCCUGCUUUUGUGGGGUGCUCGAGUGGCGAACGGGUGAGUAACACGUGAGUAACCUGCCCUUGACUUUGGGAUAACUUCAGGAAACUGGGGCUAAUACCGGAUAGGAGCUCCUGCUGCAUGGUGGGGGUUGGAAAGUUUCGGCGGUUGGGGAUGGACUCGGGGCUUAUCAGCUAGUUGGGGGGGUAGUGGCUUACCAAGGCGUUGACGGGUAGCCGGCCUGAGAGGGUGACCAGUCACACUGGAACUGAGACACGGUCCAGACGCCUACGGGAGGCAGGAGGGGGGAAUAUUGGACAAUGGGCGAAAGCCUGAUCCAGCCAUGCCGCGUGUGGGAAGAAGGUCUUCGGAUUGUAAAGCACUUUAAGUUGGGAGGAAGGGCAGUAAGUUAAUACCUUGCUGUUUUGACGUUACCAACAGAAUAAGCACCGGCUAACUUCGUG
rnacentral:rRNA from 1 species